ACUAGGAAAAAAAAAAAAUCCAAGUCGGAGCUAGUUUUUUUCCGAGUUCCCAGUUCUAUUUAACACAAGGAAGUCGGAGAUUGAGUUCCCAGUUGUUUUGAACGCACCAUUCGGCAAGGUUUUCUUUCUGCUGUUCGUGCACACCACAAUUUUUCGGCGUUUGUGUUUGUCAUUCAACGAGAGGCGAAUCGUUUUCAUUCCAUGUUUUUUUCGAUUGAGAAAUACUGCACCAAACGUCUUAGAUGUAAAAUUGUACGACUAAAGAUAACUUGGACAAAAACGUCAAUGAAUGACAGAUUUUUUUUGUUUGUUUUCUUUGAUUAAUUCUGACUAUUUUGAGAGAAUAUUUACUAGUUACGGCGUCUCAAGAUGGACAAACAGUUUGCCGCUUCUCGUUUUUCAAGGGAAGGACUUUUUAAAGGAGUAAACGCGCACAUGCGGAGGAUUUAACCAAAGUUUUUUUAAACUGACCCAAGACAGACCAGAACCUGUCGUUUCCAAUGGGAGCAAAUUAAUCAUAGUCGACAGAAUAACCAAGGAUAUAGGCAGAGCCAAGCACGGGCUAGUGAGGUCCUAUUGGCUUGUUUUAACAUUUAUUCGAUCAUUUCGUUAGGGAACACCUAGCCCUUGCGCUCCUUCCAAACAACACGUUUUUUUUAUUUCUUUUUUUUACUUUGGAAAAAGGGUCAAGUCUACAAAACGCAGUCCAGUCUGUUUGUUACAGGUAAUAGUUUUGGAAACAGAACUGUAUGAAGAUCAAAUGUUCCAUCAAUGACAAAAAUAGCAGAAUGUUGGACAAAAGCCACCUCGCUCCUUAUUUUCCCUCUCCCGCAUCACCGUAUUUGAUAGUUAGUGGAAACGCCAACCGGAUGCUUCACAUUCAUACAUCCGGUGAAAUAUUUGUCCCAUUGUCCAAGGGGUGUAAAGCAACCGAACAAUUUCCGUCUCGCGAUAGUCUGAACGAAGGCGAGAGAAGGGUCCUUACCACAGCCACAAAGUCGUAAACGCGUGUGAUGGCGUUGAAUGUACACUAGAUUACGGUAAAUUGCCAUUUAGGCCGCCCAUUAUAUGCCUGUGGGCGUGCUGGCAGCAAAUUCGAUCGUGCGUCAAGAAUUCAGCAUAGCAAGUUUGUAUGAAGGUCUGGUUAUUAAAUUGAUACAUAAGUUCAAUAGUAAUAUCCUCUAAAACGCUCUGGUUGAGAACCUUUGCAGCCCUGUUUCCAAUUGUCCACAUGGCUGGAAGAAUUUAUCCAAGUACCAGCCCGUACCUCCAUCAACCCCACUGACAUAGAAAAGAAAGGAGACCCGUCUAAUUUUUUAUCUCCCAUUAACGAUUUAGGGAUUCUGCCGAACACCCAGACAUGGAUCCACCUGAUGUCCUGCAUUACCAACCACUCUCCAACUUUUCAUUACAUCAGCUACUGUUAUUGUCAUGUUGUCCAUAUCUGCUAAGACAAGCCAGUGUAUGAAUCAAAUGUUUUUGCAUAUGAAUGAAGUGGAAAUUAGGGGGGGGGGGGGGGGGG